GGGGAUUUAGCUCAGUGGUAGAGCACUUGCCUAGCGCAAGGCCCUGGGUUCGGUCCCCAGCUCCG
rfam:Rattus norvegicus chromosome 3, whole genome shotgun sequence.